GUUAUUAUGUAGUUGGCUUUCAUCCAAUGAGUUCCCGUUAAGUGAGGAAUUAUUCUGCUUUGCUUUAGGUUCCAUCAUUUUGCCUCCACUUGUUCAUUUCGGGCACCUUUCCUUUUGCUCGGGUAUGCAAGUCGUCAAUCUGACAUUCUUUUGCGCAAUUUGUGGAUGAAAUUGUCAUUCCAUUUCUGUUUUCUGGGUGGUUAUUGCUCAUUUUUUCAAGUGGUAUUUUUUUGGUCUUUAUAGAUGGCGCCUUUUUGUUGAUGCCAUAUUUUGGUGAAGUUUCUAUAUUAAGGAGAUGAGCGAUUUGGUAGUUGACUCUGUAAAGCAGGGACAAUUUUUUCUCAGCCUUCCAUAGAUGGGGAUUGUUGGUUGUUGAUACUUUGAUGCUCAAGUCACUGAGAAUUCUUGAUGCAAGGAGAGUAAAAGUGAAGAAUGGAAACUAGAGUUGGACAGAAUGUUUGGCUCAAAUUUAUGGCAGGUGUUUUUACCCCUAUUGCCACUUUUUGUGGGCCCAAUACAUAGAUCAUUUGCUGAGGCCUGGAGGAUUCUCUAUGACUGACAAAGGCUGAUAGGAUAGUAUAAAAUUAGUGCGUUGAUUUCAGGUUGUAGUUAUUUAUCUUCAAAAUAAUUCUAAUCAGGCGUUUUUGUUCUGACUUGGCUUGUGCCUUUUUCCAUGUGAUUGAAUUAUAUGUUUUUACUUGAUUUCACUUCAGUUUGGCCUACGUGCUCAUUUUGUAGGACUAGUCCUGUCUCUUUGUUUUUGUUGACUUGGUCAGUUCUAGUAGUGGUAUAAUAGAGGGAAAUGAAGUGAAUUGACAAAAAUAACUUUCAAAUAAGUUGUCAUGUGGCCAAAAAAUUGACAUUACGUGUAUGAAUUUCAUUUUAUUGGCUUAAAUGCGUAGUUUGGAGUUUUGAAGGCUAAAAAAAUUCGAUUAAAGAGUAAUUUGAUAUAUAGGGUAAAGAUUAGGGACCACAAUGUCAAAUGUCCCCAAAAAUGUUAUAGUACUAACUAAAAUCACUAUCACAGAUUCACUUGUCUAUUAUACUCUACCAGUAACUAAGGUUUUAGAUUCCAUCUGAAGAAUCUGCCUUAGUGCAUUUUGUCUAUUACAGAUCUAAUUCUCCGUUAUUUCUUCUUGCCGGCACAAUAAAGGUACAUUUUCAAGAUGUUGUUCCAUGUUAUUUCGAUUUUUGAUCAUAAGAUUCUUGAUUCUUGAAGGGAUCGAAUUUUUCCAAGUCAAGUGAGUUUCACCAGUGGUAUUUAAGUCCUUGGUCGUGGUUUUAAGAUGCUUGAACAAUAUUCUUGAAGGAAUGUCAUUUGUGAUAUUGGCGAGGUUUAUGGAGUGUUGAUCAAAAUGAGGCAGGUACUAUUGAUAAGGAUCAGACGAAGAGAGAGAGAAGCUGGUGAUAGAGGCUGGUGAAGUGCAAACUACCAUGACUACUUCCAAGUAAUCUUCUCUUUAUUCUGUCAGUUAAUCAUUAAUAAAAAGAAUAUGUACUCUUUUUUUUUCUUUUUUCUUUUUUUAAUGAGAAGAGACGGUAUAUGUUGUCACCCUAUCAAUUCAUGCUUGGGUUUAAAUUCUUGUGUUGAUAGGACAUGACGAUAAUCCGGUCUCACCACUAGAUUUUAAAUUAAUGUGAAAGACUUACAUUAAGCAGCAUUUUGAUGUCUUUUCAACACAUUGUAUAAGGAAUUCUUAUAGAAAAGCUAAGAGUGUAGAAGCUUCCGGUUAGUGUUGGAUGCCAAGCAAUGGGAUUUGAUAACCUAAAAAUGUUACAGGAAAUGUGAGUGUGAGAAUGUUAAGUGUAUAAAUGAAAUACUCAACUUAGGUAAAAAGAUGAAAACACAAUCUAAAAUGAUGAACUAUUAUUCUAAAUUUAAAAACACUAAUGGGAUAGUACGAGGAAUACCGUCUUUAAACAGCUAUAUGAUGUUAGUGCCAUUCAGGUUUCUUCAAAUGAAAAUAGACAGGACAUAAUAAAAGUAAAAUUACAGCAAGCAUUUUCUUUAACCCAAAGACAUUGUUAAAGUUUACAAGCUAAGAUUUAUAUGGACAAAUUUAAAUUAAAUGAAAAGAAAUAUCAUCUCUUUUUUAAACUAUCACUGUUUGAAAGAGUGCAACUGAUCUAUGAUCAUUAUUGAGCUGGUCAAUGAGGAUUGAUGGUAGGGAAGAAGUCACUAACAAGGUUACUUCCAAGGAGAUUGUUGGAGACAUGAGUAUGAGUUUUAGAAUAGACUGAAGAAGAUGGGGCUAAGGCUGACGAUUCAGAAGUUACGGUAUUUAAGUUUAACUCCAAUGUAGUGUUGUCACAUUUUGGAAGCGCUGAAGAUAUGUUUUUGAGCUCUUACCACUUCCAACAUAGAAGGUCUACCCUUUGUUUCAUCUUGAGAACACCUGGUGUCCGAUUGCAUAAAUUUCUUUAUACACUCUGAAGGAUAUGGCCCCAUACUCUCGUCUAUGAUGGAAAACAUUGUUCUAUAUUGACAUGUCAUGUUAACCUGUAAGUACAUAUCGUGAAAGUUAAUUAGAUGAUGUGAUAAGAGACAAAGCAAGAACUUGAAUGCUUGUAAUGCAUCUUCACACAACUUAGAAAUUCAUAAAUCUACUGUAUAAUCUUUCUGAUUCAUCCCAUCAAGCAAGCAUAUGAUCUUAAAAAUGAAUAUAGUUAAAACUUUUUAUGAAAUCCUCAAUAGGGUUUACAUGAUAGCAUAGUGAAAUCCUUUGAUACCUCUCUCACAAGGUUCCUUCCAUGAGAUAUAGGUUGCAUCCCUGUUAAGAGUUCUAGAAAUACUACACCAAGGCUAUAAACAUCGCUUUUUCAGUUAAUUUGUGGGUCAAAAGGUAUUCUAGAUCAAGAAAACCCUGUAUAUAAGUAAAAACAUUGUUUUAAUGUCAAAGGAUAUGAAAAUAGAAUGCAAACAUAAUUGUUGUUACCAGGACAGUAAGAGAAACUAAUCAACCUAUCAAUGAGAUUGAGAUUGAGAUCACAGAGAUUUUGAUAAUCACAAAGAAGAUUACGAUAUUACGAUAUUAUGUGUGUUGUAUUUUAAGUAGUAAUUACAGUUUACCUAAAAUUGUAUCAUAUUACCAUGUACGUUUGUAAUAUCCAUCUAUAUAAUGCAAUGCAUCCCGAACGAACAGUAUUAACUUGUGAUCGUUUUCCAGCUGGAGAGUAUAAUAGGCUUAAGGAGUGGAAGAUUGGACCGUGUGAAGUGCUGCAAAAGAUCAAUGAUAAUGCUUACAAGUUGCGCAUUCCGAGCCAUUUGAAGACUUCCGAUGUCUUCAAUGUGAAACAUCUAAGUUCAUGUUUUGUGGAGUCUGAUAAAGCUAAUGUGAACUCGAUAGUGAGUUCUUUCCAACCCAAGGCGACUGAUGCAGGAAGAUCAGAGUCGGGUAAUGCUGAUCUGUCAGAUAGCACGUUGAUGGCUUUGAGAUACCAUGAGAUGACGGAUUAGCGCAAAGAUAAAAAAUAAAUGCAAUCUUUCCUUAAUUGAGGCAAUUUAGACACCUUUUUGGUAAUUUGACCAUAACUUUGGCUACGGUUAUCAGAAUCGCUAUUAUGACCCAAAUCCAAAAAGCUAUUUUCAGCUCGCAUGUCGUGGUCUUGAUGGCUGUCAAUUUCGAGCCCAAAAUCCGAUGUUUUUCUUUUCGAAAUUUAAUUUUUAGUUAUUUUUUACUAUUUAUGGUAAUAUUUAGUUUCCUUUUUUCUAUAUGUUAGAGAAUCAGGAUUGAGCCAAAUUUUUUGUAACUUAUUUCUUGUGUUUCAUAUUUUAUUUUAGUGUGAUUUCGGG
rnacentral:lncRNA from 1 species